rnacentral:rRNA from 1 species
CAGGGAUUGCCUCAGUAACGGCGAGUGAAGCGGCAACAGCUCAAAUUUUAAAGCUGGCGCCUUCGGCGCACGCGUUGUAAUUUGGAGAGGCAUCUUCGGUUCGGGCGCCAGCCUAUGUUCCUUGGAACAGGACGUCACAGAGGGUGAGAAUCCCGUGCCUGGCUGGCUGUCCCGACCCAUGUGAAGCGCCUUCGACGAGUCGAGUUGUUUGGGAAUGCAGCUCAAAAUGGGUGGUAAAUUUCAUCUAAAGCUAAAUAUUGGCGGGAGACCGAUAGCGCACAAGUAGAGUGAUCGAAAGAUGAAAAGCACUUUGAAAAUAGAGUUAAAAAGUACGUGAAAUUGUUGAAAGGGAAGCGCUUGAGACCAGACUCGGCUGGGGAUGAUCAGCGGCCCUUCUGGGCCGUGCACUUGUCCCCGGUCGGGCCAGCAUCGGUUGAGGCGGUGGGAUAAAGGCCCGGGGAAUGUGGCUCCUCUCGGGGAGUGUUAUAGCCCCGGACGCAAUGCCGCCAGCCUUGACCGAGGGCCGCGCACUUUGUGCUAGGAUGCUGGCGUAAUGGUCUUCAGCGACCCGUCUUGAAACACGGACCAAGGAGUCUAACAUCUAUGCGAGUGUUUGGGUGUCAAACCCUUGCGCGGAAUGAAAGUGAACGGAGGUGGGAACCCCUCGCGGGGCGCACCAUCGACCGGUCCUGAUGUCUUCGGAUGGAUCUGAGUAGGAGCAUAGCUGUUGGGACCCGAAAGAUGGUGAACUAUGCCUGAAUAGGGUGAAGCCAGAGGAAACUCUGGUGGAGGCUCGCAGCGGUUCUGACGUGCAAAUCGAUCGUCAAAUUUGGGUAUAGGGGCGAAAGACUAAUCGAACCAU